rnacentral:rRNA from 1 species
UACAGAGGGUGCAAGCGUUAAUCGGAAUUACUGAGCGUAAAGCGUGCGCAGUCGGUUAUUUAAGUCGGAUGUGAAAUCCCCGGGCUCAACCUGGGAAUUGCAUUCGAGACUGAAUAGCUAGGGUACGGUAGAGGGAAGUGGAAUUUCCGGUGUAGCGGUGAAAUGCGUAGAUAUCGGAAGGAACAUCAGUGGCGAAAGCGACUUCCUGGACCAGUACCGACGUUCAGGCACGAAAGCGUGGGGAGCAAACAGG